rnacentral:rRNA from 1 species
CCUACGGGUGGCAGCAGUGAGGAAUAUUGGUCAAUGGACGAGAGUCUGAACCAGCCAAGUAGCGUGAAGGAUGACUGCCCUAUGGGUUGUAAACUUCUUUUAUAUAGGAAUAAAAUGAUGCACGUGUGCCUUUUUGUAUGUACUUUAUGAAUAAGGAUCGGCUAACUCCGUGCCAGCAGCCGCGGUAAUACGGAGGAUCCGAGCGUUAUCCGGAUUUAUUGGGUUUAAAGGGAGCGUAGAUGGGUUGUUAAGUCAGUUGUGAAAGUUUGCGGCUCAACCGUAAAAUUGCAGUUGAUACUGGCAGUCUUGAGUACAGUAGAGGUGGGCGGAAUUCGUGGUGUAGCGGUGAAAUGCUUAGAUAUCACGAAGAACUCCGAUUGCGAAGGCAGCUUACUAAACUGUAACUGACAUUGAGGCUCGAAAGUGUGGGUAUCAAACAGGAUUAGAUACCCCGGUAGUC